rnacentral:rRNA from 1 species
GACGAACGCUGGCAGCGUGCUUAACACAUGCAAGUCGAACGAUGAAGCCGGAGCUUGCUCUGGUGAAUUAGUGGCGAACGGGUGAGUAUCACGUGCGUAACCUGCCCUUGACUCUGGGAUAACUGCGGGAAACUGUAGCUAAUACCGGAUACGACCCUCGGAGGCAUCUCCUGGGGGUGGAAAGAAGUUCGGUAAAGGAUGGACUCGCGGCCUAUCAGCUAGUUGGUGAGGUAAAGGCUCACCAAGGCGACGACGGGUAGCCGGCCUGAGAGGGUGACCGGCCACACUGGGACUGAGACACGGCCCAGACUCCUACGGGAGGCAGCAGUGGGGAAUAUUGCACAAUGGGCGCAAGCCUGAUGCAGCAACGCCGCGUGAGGGAUGACGGCCUUCGGGUUGUAAACCUCUUUUAGCAGGGAAGAAGCGAAAGUGACGGUACCUGCAGAAAAAGCACCGGCUAACUACGUGCCAGCAGCCGCCGUAA